CAGCGAAAUGCGAUACCUAGUGUGAAUUGCAGAAUUCCGCGAAUCAUCGAGUCUUUGAACGCAAGUUGCGCCCGAGGCUUGUCCCGAGGGCAUGCCUGCCUGAGCGUCACCGCACUCCCACCCGACGAACCCUCGUCGUGCGUGGAAAUGGCCGUCCGGGGUCGGGCGUCGAUGCCCAGCGCCGCGGUCGGCUGAAAUGGAGCGUUCUGGACGUAGCCGGAGAGGGGGAUUGCGAGAAGGUGAUCCGCCCUCUGGGCGGAGUCUAUUUUGACAGCGUCCCUCGAUCCGGGAGGUCCCACGGAACUCGGAGCGGGAGCUCGCCCGGUCGAUCGCUCGCGGUCGGUCGGGCGAGUCACACCACUGCUUGGACCUCAGAUCAGGCAAGAUUACCCGCUGAGUUUAAGCAUAUCACU
rnacentral:rRNA from 1 species